rnacentral:lncRNA from 1 species
AUGGAUCGCAAUCUACACGCUGCAUUUUGGUCCGACUCUCCUUCUCAUCAAGAAAACCGUUACAGAAUCACCCACCACAAAAGGACCAAGCAGCGUGUCAACAGGCAGGAGCAGCGCGAGGAGACGCGCAAUAAGGAUUUCUGGACAUGGGAGGAAAUCCUCGACGGGAGAGGACCCUGGGCUAAACCAGGGGAGUGUAGCCGCCCAAAGGUGCAGCAGCAGAAGAGGCAACAGGAGCAGCCCAAAGAGGAGGUAUGGACAUGGGAGGACGAAUUAGAAGGAAGAGGACCCUGGGCUCAGCCAGGAGAAUAUCGCCGCCCCAAAGAAGAACUGGAGGCGGCGAAAGCUGAGAGGCGCAGAUAUGAGGAGGCAGCACGACGUAGCGGAUGGAAGCCUGAGAGGCAGCCCCAAAAAUUUCUUGGGGGGGGGCUAACAGGGAGUAUGGCUACGCCAGGUAGGAGACCUGGGCAGACUCCCUGUGCUUACCGGGGGGCUAGAGAGACCGGACAGGCACCGUGUUAUGCAGUGGUGCGCACGGUGUCUCCAGUGCGGGUGCAUAGCCCGGUGCGGUAUAUUCCAGCUCCGCGUGUCGGCCGGGCUAGAUUGAGCGUCGAGCCUAAUGCCAUGAAGCCGGCUCUACGCAGCUGGUCCCCAGUGCGUCUCCUUGGGCCGGCUUACAUGGCACCAGCCUUGCGCUCGGUGUCUCCGGUUCGCCUGCGUAGCCCAGUGCGGGCUAUUCCACCUCGCCGCACUGGCAGGGCGACCGUGAGCAUUCAACCAGCUAAGGUUGGGCAGGCUCGGUGCUCAAGAGCUCCAGUGCGCCUGCACGGUCCGGUUUUUCCAGUACCACCUCCACACCCCAGCCCUCCGGUAGCAGCUCCCCGCACCAGGCUUCCUGUGCGUGUCCUCGGCCCAGUACCACCCGUGCCAGCACCACGCAUCAGGCCUACAGUGCGCCUCGCCUGUCCAGCGCUGCCAGAGCCUUCCUCCUCUUCAGCGCUGUCGGAGUCUCCCGCCUGUUUAGCGCUGUUAGAGCCUUCCUUCUCUACAGCGCUGCCGGAGUCUCCCGCCUGUUCAGAACUGCCAGUUUGCAAGGAGCUGCCAGUUUGCAAGGAGCUGCCAGUUUGCAAGGAGCUGCCAGUUUGCAAGGAGCUGCCAGUUUGCAAGGAGCUGCCAGUUUGCAAGGAGCUGCCAGUUUGCAAGGAGCUGCCAGUCUGCAUAGAGCUGCCAGUCUGCAAGGAGCUGCCAGUCUGCAGGGAGCUGCCAGUCUGCAAGGAGCCGCCAGAGCUGCCAGUCUGCAGGAUGCCGCCAAAGCUGCCAGUUUGCAAGGAGCCGCCAGAGCUGCCAGUUUGCAAGGAGCCGCCAGAGCUGCCAGUUAGCAUGGAGCAGCCAGAGCCGCCAGUCAGCAUGGAGCAGCCAGGGCCGCCAGUCAGCAUGGAGCAGCCAGGCAGCAUGGAGCAGCCAGAGCUGCCAGUCAGCAUGGAGCAGCCAGUCAGCAUGGAGCAGCCAGAGCUGCCAGUCAGCAUGGAGCAGCCAGUCAGCAUGGAGCUGCCAGUCGACCAGACUCUUCCAGAUCUGCCAGUCGACCAGACUCUUCCAGAUCUGCCAGUCGACCAGACUCUUCCAGAUCUGCCAGUCGACCAGACUCUUCCAGAUCUGCCAGUCGGCCAGACUCUGCCAGAUCUGCCAGUCGGCCAGACUCUGCCAGAUCUGCCAGUCGGCCAGGAUCUGCCAGAUCUGCCAGUCGACCAGACUCUUCCAGAUCUGCCAGUCGACCAGACUCUUCCAGAUCUGCCAGUCGACCAGACUCUUCCAGAUCUGCCAGUCGACCAGACUCUUCCAGAUCUGCCAGUCGACCAGACUCUUCCAGAUCUGCCAGUCGACCAGACUCUUCCAGAUCUGCCAGUCGACCAGACUCUUCCAGAUCUGCCAGUCAGCCAGGAUCUUCCAGAUCUGCCAGUCAGCCAGGAUCUGCCAGAACCGCCAGUCAGCCAGGAUCUGCCAGAACCGCCAGCCAGCCAGGAUCUGCCGGAUCCAACUACCUGCCUGAGCUUCCUCUCAGUGCUGAGCUUCCUCUCAGUGCUGAGCUUCCUCUCAGUGCUGAGCUACCUCUGUCCCGAGCUGUCCCUCUGUCCCGAGCGGUCAUUAAGGAGGGUAACCUAUCUAGGGACGCUAAGGAGGUGGACUAAAACGAUUAUGGAGUGGGGUCCACGUCCAGCGCCAGAGCCGCCACCGCGAACAGAUGCCCACCCAGACCCUCCCCUAUAG